rnacentral:lncRNA from 1 species
UGACCCAAGGGGCCUUCGAGGUGCCUUAGGCCGCUUGCCUUGCUCUCAGAAUCGCUGCCGCCAUGGCUAGUCAGUCUCAGGGGAUUCAGCAGCUGCUGCAGGCCGAGAAGCGGGCAGCCGAGAAGGUGUCCGAGGCCCGCAAAAGUGAGUUUCAGGGUGGGGCUGCCCGGCGUGGCGCGAGUCGAAGAAAGACCGCUGGGCCUCAGGUGGUGGGUAGAUUAGGCCCGAAAAACUGCGGGGUGCGGGCGUGCGUAUAGUCGCGGAAGGUUGUGUGUUUCGAAGCUUUGAGGAGCUGAGGCUCUGGAAGGCUUGCGGAUCGCCUGGAAGCCACGAUGUGAGAUGGAAAGAACCGGAGGCUGAAGCAGGCCAAAGAAGAAGCUCAGGCUGAAAUUGAACAGUACCGCCUGCAGAGGGAGAAAGAAUUCAAGGCCAAGGAAGCUGCGGUGGGGCACCAUUUGUUUUUGUUACUG